AUUUGAACUAGUAAUAAAACUAUUACUAUGUUGUGUUAGAAAAAUUUCUCAGUGAUAGAAAAGGGAAAGAAAUAUCAUGCGAGCAAACUCAAGGCCGUAAGCUGCUUGCAAGAAACAAGGCCAGCUGGUAUUGCAAACACCAGCAAAAUGAAAACUAAACUAUACUGU